rnacentral:rRNA from 1 species
CCCUUAGAUGUUCUGGGCCGCACGCGCGCUACACUGUUCGACGCAGCGAGUCUUAACCUUGACCGAAAGGUUUGGGUAAUCUUCAGCAAAGUCGAACGUGAUGGGGAUCAAUCAUUGCAAUUAUUGAUCGUGAACGAGGAAUUCCUAGUAAGUGCGAGUCAUCAGCUUGCGCUGAUUACGUCCCUGCCCUUUGUACACACCGCCCGUCGCUACUACCGAUUGAAUGGUUUAGUGAGAUCUCUGGAUUGACGCUGGCUAGGGGGCGACCCUUGGCCAGACUGCUCGAGAAACUGCUCAAACUUGAUCAUUUAGAGGAAGUAAAAGUCGUAACA